UGGGAAUAUCCACGCCCCAGUGCCAAUGUCAGGGUGGGCAUACUCGUUCAGUGUGGAUAAGUGAGAGCUGAAGCAAUAAAGCUUAGCUUUGUCUGAUCGCAAAGCAGUGCAGUCUCCUUUCUGUUGGUUGGAAUGACUGCUUAUGAGAACAGGGAUAUAGAAGCAGAACAGGGUUAAAAUCACCUAGGGCGAGGUCAGAGAACGAGAGAACGGAACGUCAAGCAUUUUGCUUCCUCUGCUGUCUUUGGGCAAUGACCACUUCUGAGCAGAUGAGAGAUGGACGGCCACCACUGCAGCUUGAGAGCCACCUCGACACGCUGCCAUCAGGGCAACGCCCUUCCCUCCCCAGGUGUCAUCCUGCCACACCACGUAAUGGCUGAAGGACCACAGAAAAGCCUGCAAUGUCUUCGCCUGCGAGUGUGUCCUGUGGUCACUGCUGGACAGAGCGGGGUUGCUGAUACGGGGAUGUGUAGGUUCCUCUUCCCCACCCAACCUGCUCUCUAAGUAAGUACGCUGUGUGACAGUCAGUGCACGUUUUUGCUUGCAUACAUAUCUGCAUGUAUUUUGUAUUAAAAGGCGGUAAGCAGAGGCUUGAAAAGAGAAAGGACAUAUACAUGUAUAUGCUUGGUGGUUUGAGGAAAAUACAGUCUCUGGCCAUAUGGUGCAUGUGUACAAGUGAUUUGGAUGGAAUACCAACGUGUUGAAGGUGAGUAGGGGUAUCACCUAGCAUCGCUGUAAGUAUUUAUCAGUUGAUUGGCAGAAAAGAAAAGGAGAGUACAUUAACACCUGGGGAAAGAAGGCUUUGAAACAAUUACAGUUGUGAAAUACAGGUAAAUCGCUAAGAAAAAACAUUCAGCAGCAGAACAAUAAUGAUACUUUGUAACAAUGCAACAACUGCAGAGAUACAAACUUUUCCUGUCUUCAUAUACAGCCUCAGGAGUGCCUCACAGCUUCCUUUGGAUGCAGGAGGGAAGGGUAGGAACAACUUCAUUUGAUAAAAGGUGAGAAGGUUCAGUGAAUUUGCCCCUGGAUUUGGAUUUGCCCCUGAUCUACACUGCCUUCCUCACAUACCACACUCAUCUGGAGCCUGCAGAAAGGGUGAAUGUGUCCACAGGUACCAAGGCCAAGUUCGGCAGCCUUCAGAAGUCGCCUGAACCAGCCUGACUCAGAGAGCAGAACCCAAAUCUCCCAUCUGAGACUUUUCAGGGAGCAAGUAACAAGUGGUCUGAAAAGAACACCCCAGGCAGGGAAUAUGGCGAUGGGAUUAUAAACACAGCCUCUCAGUCGCUUCUUCCAAGUAUAUUCAGUCUGAUCAUGUGCCUGAGACCUGGUGUGACAUUGACUAGCACAGUGUCCAGGACACAGACAAAUCACUCUUCCAGGGAGCUAAGCAGACACCAUCAAUCAUUAUCUGCAUGUUUGAGAAGUAGAAAAAUGUAGCCAAGGCCGGGAAAAGGAACAUUUGAAGGUGACUAAAAGAGAAAGAACACAAAGUUUCCCACUA
ensembl:lncRNA